rnacentral:rRNA from 1 species
UACGUAGGGGGCAAGCGUUGUCCGGAUUUAUUGGGCGUAAAGCGCUCGCAGGUGGUCCGAUGCGUCGUGCGUGAAAGACCCCGGCUCAACUGGGGGUGUCGUGCGAUACGGUCGGACUGGAGGCCAGUAGGGGAUGCGGAAUUCCGGUGUAGUGGUGGAAUGCGUAGAGAUCGGAGGAACACCAGUGGCGAAAGCGGCUCUCUGGUCCAAACUGACGCUGAGGGCGAAGCGUGGGAGCGAACGGAUUGAG